rnacentral:tRNA from 2 species
GCCCGGCUAGCUCAGUCGGUAGAGCAUGAGACUCUUUAUCUCAGGGUCGUGGGUUUGAGCCCCACGUUGGGCG